GACGAAGGAUGCAAGCGUUAUCCGGAUUCAUUGGGUUUAAAGGGAGCGUAGGUGGCCUUAUAAGUCAGUGGUGAAAAUCUCUGGGCUUAACCCAGAAAUUGCCAUUGAUACUGUAGGGCUUGAGUAUAGUUGCCGUUGGCGGAAUAUGACAUGUAGUGGUGAAAUACAUAGAGAUGUCAUAGAACACCGGUUGCGAAGGCAGCUGACGAAACUAUAACUGACACUGAGGCUCGAAAAGUGCGGGGGAUCAAACAGG
rnacentral:rRNA from 1 species